AGGAAAAAUGGCUGAGUGGUCUAAAGCGAUAAAUUGCUAAUUUAUUGUACAUUUUUUUUUGUAUCAAGAGUUCAAAUCUCUUUUUUUCCUA
rnacentral:tRNA from 1 species